UGGUCCAGCGAGAUGCUGAAGAAGUCAGGCUCACAGAGCCCCAUUGUGGUGUGUCAGAACCCACAGAAAAUGUCCCUCCUGUGCAUUAUUUAUGACUUUCCUGCAUUUAUAUAGUAUCCAGCUUCCUGAAAGUAAUUUGUUUUGGAUUGUGUAGUGCCGGGCAGCACAUCAAAGGAAAUUAGUGUCGGAACAAAGCCUUCUGGGAAGGCUAUGAAGAUCUUCAAGCCCACUUGGAGAGAAUUCUGUAGACCUCCUGAUUGAACCAAUGGCUAGGCAGCCAUGGGACCAGUUUUAAAGUAGUGCCAAGGUGCUAGGUUAAUUAAUGAAGAGAAUCUUUCAAGACUGGACAUUUAGGCUGCACUUGCUGGUUAUAAUUUAAAUAUUUCUCAAUAAAAGCAUUUUCCAUUUUAAAA
rnacentral:lncRNA from 1 species